AUUGAACGCUGGCGGCAUGCUUUACACAUGCCAGUCGAACGGCAGCGCGGGCUUCGGCCUGGCGGCGAGUGGCGAACGGGUGAGUAAUACAUCGGAACGUGCCCAGUAGUGGGGGAUAGCUCGGCGAAAGCCGGAUUAAUACCGCAUACGACCUGAGGGUGAAAGCGGGGGAUCUUCGGACCUCGCGCUAUUGGAGCGGCCGAUGGCAGAUUAGCCAGUUGGUGGGGUAAAGGCCUACCAAGGCGACGAUCUGUAGCUGGUCUGAGAGGACGACCAGCCACACUGGGACUGAGACACGGCCCAGACUCCUACGGGAGGCAGCAGUGGGGAAUUUUGGACAAUGGGCGAAAGCCUGAUCCAGCAAUGCCGCGUGUGUGAUGAAGGCCUUCGGGUUGUAAAGCACUUUUGGCGGGAACGAAAAGGACUGUGCCAAUACCACGGUUCGAUGACGGUACCCGCAGAAUAAGCACCGGCUAACUACGUG
rnacentral:rRNA from 1 species